rnacentral:lncRNA from 1 species
CCCUGGCCGUGCGCUCGCAGGGAUCGCAUCGCUCGGUGCGGAUGAGCCCCAGGUGCGGGCGGUGCCGUGCGGUGCCGGGCUGCCCGCCUGCUCUGCUGCGCGGCCCGCGGCUGCCCGGGCAGCGGGAUGCGAGGCGGCACGGAGGCAGCUAUUGGAUUACACGGGAGGUGAGGGCUUGCUGGAAAGAACCGGCUCAGAUGAGAAUGGAAGAAGACACCAGGAGUCACUUCAGAUCAGAGGCAGCCUGUGACUCACUGCGAAGGUAUUGCCCUGUGUUCCUACAGCCUUGA